GUGCUCGCUUUGGCAGCACAUAUACUAAAAUUGGAACGAUACAGAGAAGAUUAGCAUGGCCCCUGCACAAGGAUGACACGCAAAUUCGUGAAGCGUUCCUUAUUUUU
rnacentral:snRNA from 1 species